GACGAACGCUGGCGGCGUGCUUAACACAUGCAAGUCGAGCGGUAAGGCCCUUUCGGGGGUACACGAGCGGCGAACGGGUGAGUAACACGUGGGUGACCUGCCCUCAGCUCUGGGAUAAGCCUGGGAAACCGGGUCUAAUACUGGAUAUGACUCCAUGACGCAUGUUGUGGGGUGGAAAGCCUUGUGCGGCCGAGGAUGGGCCCGCGGCCUAUCAGCUUGUUGGUGGGGUGAUGGCCUACCAAGGCGACGACGGGUAGCCGGCCUGAGAGGGCGACCGGCCACACUGGGACUGAGACACGGCCCAGACUCCUACGGGAGGCAGCAGUGGGGAAUCUUGCGCAAUGGGCGAAAGCCUGACGCAGCGACGCCGCGUGAGGGAUGACGGCCUGGU
rnacentral:rRNA from 1 species